CGGCACUCGCCUGACACGGUUGUGACAUCGUUCAAAUGCUUCCUUGACGUUCUUUAACAGAAUCAACUUAAAACAAGACUUUUCAUUCAACAACAAAACUCUUUUGGAUGAAAAUAAACUGAUUAAAAACAACACUGAAGGUAAAGUGUGCCCUGAAGCAUGGUUGAGAUUUGGAUUCAGCUGCUACUAUAAAUCCAUAACGCAGAAAUCUUGGACUAACAGCUGGAGUUUCUGUCGGGAUAAAGGAGCUCAUCUUGUGGUCAUAAACAGCAAAGAGGAACAGGUGAGUGUCUUCACACAAGUUACUUCCAGCUUCUUGUGUCUUGUAUUCUCCACCUGUAUGUGUGCUGCUGUUGUCUGGAUGCUGAUGGAUUCCAGCUGAAAUUCUCCUCACAAACUCAGAUUUCAUGUUUGUUCUUCACCAACAUUUCAAAAUCACCUUUUCCUUUUCUCAAUGUCUCAGUUACAAGUAAAUUGAAUUAAGAUUAAAGAGAAAUUGAAUAUUAGCCCGGAAGACAGAACAAUAAGCAAACAUUUUUUCAGUAUUAUUUAUUGUUUCUUUCAACAUUUUGUGUAGAAGGAAACCAAGAUGGGGAGUGUGUAUUAAGACAAAACAUUUUUUUUGUUUGUUUUUUUACUAGGAGUUUGUUUCUAAAUUGAAUCAGAAUGCAGAAUCCUGGAUUGGUCUGUUUGUUAACCGACCUCAGCUAUUUUUUCAAAAAGCUGAAUGGAAAUGGGUGGAUGGUUCGCCGCUGACAGUAACGUAAGACUUUAUUUAUUUUACAAUGUUACUAAAUUCAUCCUUUAUGAUUGAGCCUGAUUGUGUGAAAUUACUUCAAAAGAAAUACAGAAAAUGUUUGAAACAUCAUUCAUGACCAGAAUAACAGAAUAUUUUAUUACAGGUUUUGGGAUGAGGGUAUUUCAAAAUAUCCACAUUCCAACAACCAUGCCGUGUUUUUAAGUGCUGAAGGGAAAUGGAAACAACAGUCGCAAGCAAACAACAAAAACUGGAUCUGCGAGAAAUAGAAUUUUGUGCAUUGAUGUACAUGCAUGCUUUAUCUUUUUUUGUAUUUUUAUUUUAUUUCUUUUUGUUUACUUGUACAAAUUAUUACUUAAAUAAUGGUUGCACUUUAGGUUUUUUGUUUAUCGUUCAGAGAAAUGUAGUUGAAAUAUUUUAAACAACUUAUUCACAAAAAAAUAUCAGUUAAUUAUUCAGAUAAGCAUUAAACUGUAAAGUUAUAUCUUGAAAAGGGAAUUAAAAAAA